UACGUAGGUGGCGAGCGUUGUCCGGAUUUACUGGGCGUAAAGAGCGCGCAGGCGGUCGUGCAAGUCGCGUGUGAAAGCCCCCGGCUCAACUGGGGAGGGUCACGCGAUACUGCUCGACUUGAAGGCAGGAGAGGGAAGUGGAAUUCCCGGUGUAGUGGUGAAAUGCGCAGAUAUCAGGAGGAACACCUAUUGCGAAGGCAGCUCGCUGGGACGUAACUGACGCUGAGACGCGAAAGCGUGGGGAGCAAACAGG
rnacentral:rRNA from 1 species